UCGGCCACCGCCCAGGCAGCCAGGCUCCCACGUACAGGCAAGCGGGCAGCAAUACGGGGCAAACCCUACAAGCUACAGCUGACACUGAGGCACCGAGCAGUCCAAGUCCGCCGCCAGCCAUCAAGUGUCCAUGUCCAUCUAGGUCUAGCGGUCGGGCUCUACGCCGUCCAACUGCAGUGGUCCAAGGUCGCCGACCGACCUCGUAGCAGGCAACAGACAGCGCGCAGACCUCGCCGCCGGUCGACACGGCGACAGCGACCCAGGAAUCGAGCAACAUGCCUGAUACUGAUGAUAUAGUAGACAUGGAAUUGGAAAGAGAAUCUAUGGGUACUGCUACUCAAUUUGAGCAAGCAACUGUGGAAACAACAGCUGAUCAGUCACAAACAAUACAAGGUAAAUCUAGUGGAACUGAAGGAAAUGCUAAUUUCGUAGACAUUGAGAAUGAAACUGAGAAAAAGGAGGCAAGAAAGGAGAUGGUACCAAGGUCAAGUAUGUGGGAUCAUUUCAUUAAGAUCAAAGAUGACAAGGGUAGGCUAAAGUCUGCUAAGUGCAAAUAUUGUCAGCGUAUCCUUAAGGCUGAUUCCAAUCAGCAUGGUACAUCUUCAUUAAAUAAACAUUUUAAUGUCUGCAAGCGCAACCCCAAUAAAUUUGAUAAAGACCCAAAGCAAGGUACUUUGCAAGCAACGGGAGGGGAAGCUCCUAGCACUUGGAGGUUUGAUCAAAAUUCAUUGAGGGAUGCAUUUGCUGAAAUGCUAAUAUAAGAUGAGCUGCCCUUUGCUUUUGGUGAGAAGUCGGGCUUCAGAAAAUUUAUGUCAAAAGCUUGCCCACGGUUCCAAGUGCCAUCUAGAAGAACUUGUACUAGGGACAUUGUGCGCACAUACUUCCAAGAGAGGGCCAAGCUAAAGAAGUUCUUCAAAGACUCUUGUCAAAGAGUUAGUCUAACAACAGAUUGUUGGACCUCCCAACAACAAGAUGGAAUUCAACAUAUCUAAUGUUGAAGGCUGCAAUUGUGUAUGAGAAGGUAUUCUUGAGGUUGGCUGAAGACGACAUUAGCUAUGUUUUGGAGCUAUCUGAGGUGAGAGGAGGACAUGAUCACCCUAAUGAGGAUGAUUUGGAGAAUGCCAAGAAGAUGGCUGAAUUUCUAGAGCAUUUCUAUGAUCUCACUAUUCGCAUCUCCUCUAGCCUUCAUGUCACUAUUAACACCUUCUUUCAUGAGAUUGGAGAGAUCCGCUUGUUGAUUCAAUCAUGGAUUGAUAGUGUGGAUCCUUUGCGAGUUUCAAUGGGCUUCAGAAUGAAAGAGAAAUAUGACAAGUAUUGGGGAGUUUGGAAUGAGCCGGAUAAGGACAGAGGGAAAGGAAAGGGUAAGGAAAAGGAGAACAUUAAUCUAUUGAUUUUUGUUGCUGCAUUUCUUGAUCCAAGGUACAAGUUAUCUUUGUACCAUAAGAUUACCGUUGAAGAGAUCUUUGGUGAGGACAGAGGACAACUAGUUUGGUCUGCUAUUAAGACAUGUAUCCGAGAACUGUUCACAGAAUAUAGAAAUAUUUAUGCACCAAUUGAAGAAUCAACUGAAGAAACAGAUUCAACUCAAGCAAAAGGUGGUCCAGGAGGGAAGCUUAAACAAGUUAUUGCCAACAAAAUGAAGAUGACUAAUAGUAGUAACAACACUACCAAAUCAGAACUGGACAAAUAUGUAUCUGAAGAUUGUGAAGAUACAGAAAAAAGAUCGAUAUUCUCGUUUGGUGGAAGGACAAUGCACACAGAUUGCCAGUUUUGGCUCACAUGGCCCAAGAUAUCCUUGCUAUACCAAUAUCAACAGUAGCUUCAGAGUCCAUUUUCAGCACAAGUGGACGUAUAUUGGAUGAUUUUCGUACUUCCCUUACACCUUUCAUGUUGGAGGCCCUUGUAUGUACCCAAGAUUGGCUAAGAAGGUCUACUCCCAUUGACAUACAAGAGAAUAUCGAGGAAUUAGCCAUUAUAGAAAAAGAGCUAAUUGAAGAAUUUGGAAAUGGUGGCAAAGGAAAAAGAACUGAGGUUACUUCCACUUCCAAGUCUUAAGCAACACAACAGUGAGCUGUGGACUGUGGUGCAUGUCUGGCUUAUUGGUGAUUGUCUGUCUGUCCCUGUGUCUCCUUCGUUGGUGGCAGACUAGCGGCUGUAUGGUAUGGCUGUGUCUCUACAUGAGAGAUGAGAUUGUUUCCCUCUGUAGACUGGUCACUGCUGUAGCCUGUAGAUGUGUAGUGGUGUGUCCGUGUGUUCCAAGUGCUGGAGAGUGGUGUGAAGUGUGCUGGUGCAGACUGCAGUGGUGCUACCGUGCUAGUGUGCUACUGUGUGCCAAGCCAAGUGUUAUCUUGCUGGACAAGUGCUGGAGACUUGGUGUUCUGGACAAGUGCGGAAGUGCCGUGUGUGGACAGUGGAGAACUGGAGAGUAGCAUAGCACAUCCUCUGUUUUGAAUUCAUAUCAAUUAUCAUCUAUUUAGGUUGUGGAGUACUGGAGUCUAAAGUCUAACAGUUCCUAAGAACCUGAUGUAUUUUAUUGUAUCUUAUUUUCCCUGUGUGUAUUUACCAAUGACCUGUGUAUGUUUCAUGA